rnacentral:tRNA from 1 species
GCCUUCGUGGUGUAGUGGCCAGCCCACUCGGCGUGUAUUCGAGAGGUCCGUGGUUCGAGUCCUGGUGAGGGCA